UACGAAGGGGGCUAGCGUUGUUCGGAAUUACUGGGCGUAAAGCGCGCGCAGGCGGCUAUCCAAGUCAGUGGUGAAAGCCCGGAGCUCAACUCCGGAACUGCCAUUGAAACUGUUUAGCUGGAGUAUGAGAGAGGUGAGUGGAAUUCCCAGUGUAGAGGUGAAAUUCGUAGAUAUUGGGAAGAACACCGGUGGCGAAGGCGGCUCACUGGCCCGAUACUGACGCUGAGGCACGAAAGCGUGGGGAGCAAACAGG
rnacentral:rRNA from 1 species